rnacentral:snoRNA from 13 species
AUAAAUGUUUUCUAAGUGUCUAAUGAUGAGUUUCAUAGGGCAGAUUCUGAGGUGAAAAUUUAGUUCAUCAUUGAUACUCUUUCUAUGGAAUCUGAAGACACUUCAAACCUA